rnacentral:rRNA from 1 species
GAGUUUGAUCCUGGCUCAGGAUGAACGCUGGCGGCGUGCUUAACACAUGCAAGUCGAACGAAACACCUUAUUUGAUUUUCUUCGGAACUGAAGAUUUGGUGAUUGAGUGGCGGACGGGUGAGUAACGCGUGGGUAACCUGCCCUGUACAGGGGGAUAACAGUCAGAAAUGACUGCUAAUACCGCAUAAGCGCACAGAGCUGCAUGGCUCGGUGUGAAAAACUCCGGUGGUAUAAGAUGGACCCGCGUUGGAUUAGCUUGUUGGUGGGGUAACGGCCCACCAAGGCGACGAUCCAUAGCCGGCCUGAGAGGGUGAACGGCCACAUUGGGACUGAGACACGGCCCAGACUCCUACGGGAGGCAGCAGUGGGGAAUAUUGCACAAUGGGGGAAACCCUGAUGCAGCGACGCCGCGUGAAGGAAGAAGUAUCUCGGUAUGUAAACUUCUAUCAGCAGGGAAGAAAAUGACGGUACCUGACUAAGAAGCCCCGGCUAACUACGUGCCAGCCGCCGCGGUAAUUC